GACGAACGCUGGCGGCGUGCUUAACACAUGCAAGUCGAACGGAAAGGCCCUGCUUUUGUGGGGUGCUCGAGUGGCGAACGGGUGAGUAACACGCGAGUAACCUGCCCUUGACUUUGGGAUAACUUCAGGAAACUGGGGCUAAUACCCGAUAUGAUCUCCUGAUGCACGGUGGGGGUUGGAAAGUUUCGGCGGUUGGGGAUGGACUCGCGGCUUAUCAGCUUGUUGGUGGGGUAGUGGCUUACCAAGGCUUUGACGGGUAGCCGGCCUGAGAGGGUGACCGGCCACAUUGGGACUGAGAUACGGCCCAGACUCCUACGGGAGGCAGCAGUGGGGAAUAUUGCACAAUGGGCGGAAGCCUGAUGCAGCAACGCCGCGUGCGGGAUGACGGCCUUCGGGUUGUAAACCGCUUUCGCCUGUGACGAAGCGUGAGUGACGGUAAUGGGUAAAGAAGCACCGGCUAACUACGUG
rnacentral:rRNA from 1 species